UACGAAGGGGGCUAGCGUUGUUCGGAAUUACUGGGCGUAAAGCGUGCGCAGGCGGUAAGGUAAGUCUGAUGUGAAAGCCCCGGGCUCAACCUGGGAAUGGCAUUGGAAACUGGCUUGCUGGAGUGUGGCAGAGGGGGGUGGAAUUCCGCGUGUAGCAGUGAAAUGCGUAGAGAUGCGGAGGAACACCGAUGGCGAAGGCAGCCCCCUGGGCCAACACUGACGCUCAGGCACGAAAGCGUGGGGAGCAAACAGG
rnacentral:rRNA from 1 species